AUGGGGCAGCCCUAUAGGGUGAUAUGGGGCUGGCCUAUAGGGCGAUAUGGGGCUGGCCCUAUAGGGCGCUAUGGGGCAGCCCUAGACAGAGAUGGAUCCCUGGCGGAAGUCGGAUUUGCUGAUAAGGGCGUUGAUAAGGACGGGCCGACCCCGCCCGCAUCGAUCCUGAGCGUCACGAAGAACCGCGGCCACUUGUGGGGCAGAGCGACCCACAACUGCAUCCACUUGUGGGGCAGAGCGACCCACAACCGCAUCCACUUGUGGGGCAGAGCGACCCACAACUGCAUCCACUUGUGGGGCAGAGCGACCCACAACCGCGUCCACUUGUGGGGCAGAGGGACCCACAACCGCAUCCACUUGUGGGGCAGAGCGACCCACAACCGCGUCCACUUGUGGGGCAGAGCGACCCACAACCGCAUCCACUUGUGGGGCAGAGCCACCCACAACCGCAUCCACUUGUGGGGCAGAGCGACCCACAACCGCAUCCACCAAAACCGUGAGCACCAGAGCCUCGGCUGCACUGUGGUAAUCUAUGGGGAGAGAGAAUGGGGUCAGAUGACAUAUAGGGUGACUAUAGGGUCGUAAAGGGGCUGAUCCUAUAGGGGACUAUAGGGCCAUAAAGGGGCUGAUCCUAUAGGGGACUAUAGGGCCAUAAAGGGGACAUGGGACCUGAUCCUAUAGGGUGACUAUAGGGCCAUAAAUCUAUGGGGAGAGAUAAUGGGUUUCCCAGAUGCCAUUAUAGGGUGACUAUAGGGUCAUAUAAGGCAGGCUGAUCUAUAGGCGGACUAUAGGGUCUAAAGGGCGCUGAUCCUAUAGGGGACUAUAGGGUCAUAAAGGGGCUGAUCCUAUAGGGGACUAUUAGGGCCAUAAAGGGGCUGAUCCGUAUAGGGACUAUUAGGGUCAUAAAGGGGCUAUCCAUAGGGACUAUUAGGGCCAUUAAAGGGGACACGGGACCUGAUCCUAUAGGGUGACUAUAGGGCCAUAAAUCUAUGGGGAGAGAUAAUGGGGUCAGAUGCCAUAUAGGGUGACUAUAGGGCCAUAAAGGGGCUGAUCCUAUAGGGACCAUAGGGGUUCGUAAAAGGGGCUGAUCCUAUUAGGGGACUAUAGGGCCAUAAAAGGGGCUGAUCCUAUAGGGUGACUAUCAGGCGUCGUAAAGGGGGGCUGCUGAUCCUAUAGGGGGACUAUUAGGGCCGCUAAAGAUAGAGAACAA
rnacentral:lncRNA from 1 species